rnacentral:lncRNA from 1 species
UUACCUUGGGCAGUAUGGCCAUUUUCAUGAUAUUGAUUCUUCCUACCCAUGAGCAUGGAAUGUUCUUCCAUUUGUUUAUAUUCUCUUUUAUUUCAUUGAGCAGUGGUUUGUAGUUCUCCUUGAAGAGGUCCUUCACAUCCCUUGUCAGUUGGAUUCCUAGGUAUUUUAUUCUCUUUGAAGCAAUUGUGAAUGGGAGUUCACUCAUGAUUUGGCUCUCUGUUUGUCUGUUAUUGGUGUAUAAGAAUGCUUGUGAUUUUUGCACAUUGAUUUUGUAUCCUGAGACUUUGCUGAAGUUGCUGAAGGAGAUUUUGGGCUGAGACAAUGGGGUUUUCUAGAUAUACAAUCAUGUCAUCUGCAAACAGGGACAAUUUGACUUCCUCUUUUGCUAAUUGAAUACCUUAAGUAUUUAGGAAUCUUCCCCAUUUCUUUUUAUCAGGUCGAAGUAAGUAAGUACAUAUUUUAGGGUCUUCUGUUCUUGAGGGGUUUUUUUUUUUGUUUUUUGCUUUUUGUUUUUUUUCCUAUUGGACGUUUGACACCUAUAUUUUUCUCUGGCAUUUUGGAAAUUUGCUUCCCAAAGUCAAAAAUAUAAUGCUUAACUUUUCCCGAUUUGGCCAACAUCAACUUUAAGAUUCUGUGGUUAUCUUUCUACCAAGAGAUUUGUCAAUUUUACUGUCCCAAUCAUUUCCUUUUUACUGAUUAGAAUUAGGCCUUUGUGUAGCUGUUCACCUAAUUACUUCCUCUACCUUGUGAAAAAGAGCAGGGACACUAACAUUUGCUGGGUGCCUACUACAUGCCAAAAGUACUUAAUCGCAUGCAGUAAUGUCAUUUAAUCUUCAAAACAACUCUCCAAAGGAAGUGUCACUCUCCUUGUUUGAUUUCUUGCUUCCCAAAUGGAAGGUCCUUUGUAUUAAUAGUAUCUGUCAAAUUUCAUACAAUACUUAAAUAUGUUCUUGAUACAUACUUCAAUAUAACCAACAGGAUGAGGCAGUAUUCGACAAAGUAAAAAAUAAGAUGAAUAUUUUUAGUGAUUUAUAAGUUACUUGAGGAAAUCAUGCUGUUUAUGCUUUUCCUUUUUAGGUAUUCUUUGUGAAUUUUGCUAUUUGUGUGUGAAUAUAUCUGUUUCGAUAAUGAGUAACCAUAUGAAAUGGAUAAUCGUAUGAAAAUUCAUUUGUAAUUCAGUAGAUUGCCAGGGAUUUUAGGUUAGUUAUGGAGGUUUUUUUUUUUCUUUUGGAGAGUGAGGAGAUUGGCAUACAGUUUCAGAUUGUUUAUCUGAAAGUUGGAAGUGUGACUAAGCUCGAAGAAAGGAAGAGAGGGACAAAGAAAGGCAGGAGGUGCCCCUAAGUGGGAACCUACCAGGACAUUCAAAGAAAGAGCAGUAAGUUCUGAAUGUGCUGGGACAACCUGGGUGAUAUGCAUGGAUAUGGGCUGUGGAAGCUGAGCAUUUUAAUGAUAACUUAGGGAAAGGAGGCAUGGCCAUGAUGUAAAACUCUCAAAUCCCAACCCCUAAUCCAACCUUAAAAUCUGAGUCUUCUAAAGGGCUGUUGUAACCAUGAAAGGACCAUAAGAAAGGCAAUUCACAGAAAAUGAGGCCAUGUGGCCAAGAAAUAUAAGAAAAACAGUAAAAGCCCUUAAUCUCAAUAGCAAUAGAGUGGAUGCAAAUGAAUAUAAUGAGUUACCAUGUUGUUCUUACUGGAUUGGAAAAAAAAUUAGAAUGUCUAAAUAACAUGUAUCAUCCAGGAUGCGGUAAAAUGGGAGCUCUUGUACCCUGCAGGCAGGCAUUUAAAUUGGUACAACCACUUUGGAUUGCUGCUUUGUAGUAUCUGGUGCAACUGAAGAUGAACAUGCCCUGUGACACAGCAACUGCACUUCUAGGUCAAUACCCUAAUUAUAUUCUUACUGUGGUUCACAAGAAGGUAUGUAAGAGGUCAUUCCCUGAGCACUGUUUAGAAUAGGGGCAAACUGGAAAUCCUCUAAAUGUCUAUCAAUGAAGGAAUAGAUAAAUUGUAAUAUGUUCAUAUAAAAUACUGCAUAAAUAAGUGAAAUUUAUAAAUAUACUAACAUGAAUGAAUCUUGAAAAUAGAGUUGGGAGAUAAAAGCAAGCUGUUGAAGAACAUGGUCAGUAUCCUCUCACUUACGUAAGUUAAAAACUCCAAAGAACAUUAUCUAAAUUGGUAAUGGCAUAGACGUGUAGUAAAAUAUAAAAAUAUUAACUAAAAGCUCUAUACACUUCAGGAUAUUGUUAGUAUAGUAAGGCAGGAAGUGGAUAGCAUUGGGGUCAGACAGUGGUUAUGUUUGGUGGUUAUGUUUGGUUACUUUAGUUAUGUUAGUAACAUUUUUUUUUUAAAGAAGGAUCCGGAAUAAUUAUGGUAAAAUAAUAGUAUUUGCUGAAACUAGAUGACUGGUGUAUUGGAUUUCAUACACUAUUUUCUAAGUUUGUUAUGAACGCUUAAAAUAUAUAUGUAUGUAGUAAAAUUAAUGUAAAUUUGUACAAAUAAAAAUAAAUGGCAUGUGAUAUAUGGC